AGUGAUGUAGCUCAGUGGCAGAACAUCUGCUUUGCAUACCAGAGGUCUCAGGUUCAAUUCCUGGUGUUUCCA